AAAUAAAAUGUCCGAAAAUAUGUUAUCUAUUUUUAGUUUAAUUUCCAAGUUAAAAGUUUUAAUAAAUAAAUAUAGAGUAAGUACAUAUUUUAUCUUGCUAUUUUAAUUUAGUAGUAGUAUAUUUUAUAUUCUCACUUGUUAAUUAUAUGUGAUUUCACCACUCAAUUUUAAUACCGCAUCCACACACACAUAUCACAUGCACCUUUUUAUGCAUUUUUUCUUAAAAUAACAACAAAACAAUAAAAAAAUAAAAUUGCCUUUUUCCAUUUAAAAAAAAAGAAGAAGAGAAAACUCUUUUCAAGGCUGAUUACCCAAAGUCUUUUUCAUGUAUCUAUGCACAACAUAUAUAAAGACUAUGACCUAAAUAAUAUGCCUAGAACCUACACCUAUUCACAAUCAGCCGCAGCUUACACAAAAAAAAAAAAAAAAAAAAACCACACACCUAGGCAAUAAUCAGCCGCAUCUAGCAAUUUAUACAAGAGGAAUAGAAUAGAAGAGUCCAGCCUUUCGUCGUUGAAAGGCAUCACCUUUCCACCUCAACACCACCCCAAAACACUAAUCAACCACCUCAAAUACCAUGUAGACCUACUAGCUAUCAGUCACAGCUCCUUCCUCUUCACACAAAGCCAGCGACCAAACAACAUGAACCACCGUUGAAGCCAUCCUAACACCCACCAACAAAAGUGUUGUCUCCUUUAAGUUCCCUAUCCUUAACGCACCAUUUAACUCCAGUUCAUCGCAAACGAAAACAACACCACCUUGACCCCAGAUGCUCAGAUCUAAACGGAGGGAGAAUAGGGUCGAGUCGGCGAGGUCGUUUGGUUGGAGCUCUAGUCACGGUUCAUUUUUGUGCGUGAGCCUUGAGUGUUCUUGGUUUUUAUGUAUUGACGAAAUUUUCUGCAAUUGAAGGUAUAGACAAAGGAGAUGAGGACUUUCCGCAGUAGGCUGCUACCAGGUACCAAUUUUGAUUGGUGAGCUCCACUUCUUUAUAGAGUAUUGCCAAGUCUGGGAUUGUAUAUGUGUUUUUAUGUUACGGGUAUGUCGGGGGCCCUGUCCCGACUAAUAUACUUCAGUCAUGUUCAUAGAGGCUUUGCAGACAGUUUCUUGUGUACAACUAGUCUUACUUGGUCAGUUGUUAUGUCGGCAUCGUGGGCCUAUCGUACAUAUACUUAUGCCUGAUAUUAUAUUCAUAGUUGGCCACCUUGGCCUUAUUUUGCCAUUCGAGA